GACGAACGCUGGCGGCGUGCCUAAUACAUGCAAGUAGAACGCUGAAGGCGGAGCUUGCUCUUCUGGAUGAGUUGCGAACGGGUGAGUAACGCGUAGGUAACCUGCCUGGUAGCGGGGGAUAACUAUUGGAAACGAUAGCUAAUACCGCAUAACAGUAGAUGUUGCAUGACAUUUACUUAAAAGUUGCAAUUGCAUCACUACCAGAUGGACCUGCGUUGUAUUGGCUAGUUGGUGGGGUAACGGCUCACCAAGGCGACGAUACAUAGCCGAACGGAGAGGGGGAGCGGCCACACUGGGACUGAGACACGGCCCAGACUCCUACGGGAGGCAGCAGUAGGGAAUCUUCGGCAAUGGACGGAAGUCUGACCGAGCAACGCCGCGUGAGUGAAGAAGGUUGUCGGAUCGGAAAGCUCUGUUGUAAGAGAAGAACGAGUGUGAGAGUGGAAAGUUCACACUGUGACGGUAUCUGACCAGAAAGGGACGGCUAACUACGUG
rnacentral:rRNA from 1 species